rnacentral:rRNA from 1 species
GUCGAGAAUAAUUCACAAUGGGGGAAACCCUGAUGGUGCAACGCCGCGUGGAGGAUGAAGGUCUUCGGAUUGUAAACUCCUGUCAUCUGGGAGUAAGACCUGACGGUGAAUAGCCGGCAGGGUUGAUAGUACCAGAAGAGGAAGGGACGGCUAACUUCGUGCCAGCAGCCGCGGUAAUACGAAGGUCCCAAGCGUUGUUCGGAAUCACUGGGCGUAAAGGGAGCGUAGGCGGCGUGGUAAGUCAGAUGUGAAAUCCCGGGGCUCAACCCCGGAACUGGAUCCGAUACUGCCGUGCUUGAGGGUUGGAGAGGUAGCUGGAAUUCUCGGUGUAGCAGUGAAAUGCGUGGAUAUCGAGAGGAACACUCGUGGCGAAGGCGAGCUACUGGACAACAUCUGACGCUGAGGCUCGAAGGCCAGGGGAGCAAAAGGGAUUAGAUACCAGGGUAGUCC